rnacentral:lncRNA from 1 species
GAUGGGUAGGUUGGAGGUUGCCUUUACUCCCGUGGGUCCCAUCUCGCUUCUCAUUCUGUGCAGGAGGAUCCUUUGUGAGGUUGGCUGUAGAGGUGGGGGUCUGGCCCAUCAGCCUACCCUCCUGCUUACCCAGAGAAGGUAAGAAAUGAGAACUAAGGCCAUCUAGACUUUUGCCACAGGCUGUAUCAACUAUAGCUUCUUUGGGGAGAGGAGGGGAGUGUGGAAAGUUCCAGCACUUGGACUCACACAACUUCGUAGAUAUGACAACAGGUUUCAUCAUUACCUUCUACACCGUUUUCUCAAACACCCUAUAUGGCUGAGGGGCAGGAAGGGAAUGAGACAAAGCUAGAAGAGCGUGGAGGUUAGAGGCCAUCAGCCUUCUUGACAUUCGUUAAGCAAGAAGAUCGGAUGAAUGGAUGGCAGAUGAUGGCUAACAUUUAAUGGUACUCAUGAUGCGGGAGGCUCUGAGUGUUCAUGUUAUAUAUCCUCUCAACUGUCAAGUCCUCACUGCAGUUCUGUGGGGCUGAUGCUGUUCUUAUCCUGGCUUACAGAAGAGGAAACCGAGUACAGAACGGCCAUUAGCGUCACACCGGGAAACUGAGGCAUGGAAACGUGAGUGAGUUGUCGGUUCAGGUCCCAUAACUGUGCUCUGCCUCCCCAGUCACGGCAAGUUUCUUGGAGCUUUGAUGAGGAUAGACGGCAGGUGAUCCACGGAUGCCGAAGGGAGCUUUGCCACAGGCUGGGAUGCUUGGGUAGGUCCUCCCAGCUUGGGUAGGUCCUCCCAGCUUGGGUAGGUCCUCCCAGCUUCUGCAUAGAGGGAGUACUCCGUCCUCCCCAGCUCGGCUUCUGCAAAAACCCAAGCAGGGUGACUCCAGGCCAAGGGAGCAGGGACUGUGCUGUGCGAGGUCCAGGUCUACCUCGGCUCAGGCUCCCGCUCAAAGCUGAAUAACCGGGAGUCCUUCAAGAAGGAUUUCUGAGAAGCCAUCAGGAGUGAGUCAUUGACUUAGGGAGGCGAUGAAUCAACCGGGAGUUCAUAAAACGGCAAAUGAAUCGGGUGUGAGAGAGCAACGGAGCCACCGCUAUUCCCCAGAACCCUCCAGGGACAGAGAGCCGAGAGAAAAGAAAUAAAAAUAACACGGGGCCUUAUGCCUGCUACAAACCCGAGGAGUCCUUACAAGAAAGAACACUGAUUUUGACGAACACCCAAAAUAAUGUGAGAUCAGGCUCAUGCGUUAUGCAUGAGGUCUGAUUUAACAUGAACAUUAUUUCUUGUGUACGAGACCAUAUGCCUCCGUGCUGUCUCUGCAGCCUAAUAAAACCCAGACCCACC